UCAUAAGUUCAUGGUUCAACACCAUGGAUCUCCAGGUGGGUCAAGAUUAUAGAGAUACACCAACCUGGAGGACUCCAUGCUGUUGAGCUGUUCACAA
rnacentral:pre_miRNA from 1 species